UCGGGAAUUUUGGGCAAUGGGCGAAAGCCUGACCCAGCAACGCCGCGUGAAGGAUGAAGUAUUUCGGUAUGUAAACUUCGAAAGAAUAGGAAGAAUAAAUGACGGUACUAUUUAUAAGCUCCGGCUAACUACGUGCCAGCAGCCGCGGUAAUACGUAGGGAGCAAGCGUUGUUCGGAUUUACUGGGCGUAAAGGGCGCGUAGGCGGCGCGGUAAGUCACUUGUGAAAUCUCUGAGCUUAACUCAGAACGGCCAAGUGAUACUGCAGUGCUAGAGUGCAGAAGGGGCAAUCGGAAUUCUUGGUGUAGCGGUGAAAUGCGUAGAUAUCAAGAGGAACACCUGAGGUGAAGACGGGUUGCUAGGCUGACACUGACGCUGAGGCGCGAAAGCUAGGGGAGCAAACGGG
rnacentral:rRNA from 1 species